rnacentral:rRNA from 1 species
UACGUAGGGAGCAAGCGUUGUCCGGAAUCAUUGGGCGUAAAGCGCGCGUAGGUGGCCUCAUAAGUCCGUUGUGAAAGUCAAAGGCUCAACCUUUGAAAGCCGAUGGAUACUGUGAGACUAGAGUACGGAAGAGGCGAGUGGAAUUCCUGGUGUAGCGGUGGAAUGCGCAGAUAUCAGGAGGAACACCGGUGGCGAAGGCGCCACUCUGGGCCGAAACUGACGCUGAGGAGCGAAAGCGUGGGGAGCGAACAGG